ACUUCAGAGCUGCCUCAUCACUAUGGACCUUCUGGAGAUUGCUGCGCUGUAGCUGACCCUUCUACGACCACCAAACCUGCUCUGCUCCUCUUGUGUUGGUGCUGUGCCCUUGGUGGCAACUAUAACUGGCUGCUGCUGGACUCAGGAUACGGGGCUCGCAGUGGCUUUGGUCUGACCCCUGUUCCUCUGACUGCAAAUUGGAAGGUUUUCCCCUCACUGAAGCUAUUAAUUGAAUUGGACCUCAGCUUGUAAAAUAUUGGAAAUUCAUCUUGUGGAGCAGGGAGAAAACCAACCCACAAGCCUUUCUCUGAAGAGCAUCUUGGAAUUAAAUGAAGAGACUUUUGUGGUGGGAUGUUUUAAUAUUCCUGACUGAUGUCCUGUAAAUGGCUGGUCCCACUGGAUGACAUCUGAAGACUUUUUUUUUUUCAGCCACUGGCUUAACAUCACCCCCUCAAAGCAGUCCGGCCUGUCCCUUAGCUGCCCAUGAAACCUAGGGGACAUCAUGGGACAGGGGACAACCUAAUGCAGACAAACAUGGACCCACUUGUCUUCCCUGUGCCAGAAAACUUUGUCUUCUAACCUACUGGUUUGCUCCUGUUUCCCUCUAUUGGAUUAGCAGCAAGACUUGGGGAGCUGCUUAAGGAGAUGAGGCGAGAGAAUGGGUCCUGAUUAUGUCUUCCCGAGCGGUUAUCAUCCCCCAGUUAUUCAUGUAGCCAUGAAUUAUUGAUGGUCUCCAGGCUCACUAACCAGGGGAUCUGGCUGGGGAGGAGAAGGUCUGAUGAAUAGGAAUCAGUGAUGUCUCUCAACAGCUCUAACUUCUGCAAAAUGAAGGAUGGAUGUAUUCUUUCCCCACUCAAACUCCAGCCUGGGAGAGGAGGAGGAAGAGGAGAAUGAAAGAUAAAAAGGGGAGAAGAAAGAAGGGAAAGCAAGAAGCCAGUAGCAUAGAGCCAUGAUCCAUUAUUCAUCCACUGUGCUCCCAGGAUUGGUUGUUAUUAUAAGGCACCACUACAGAAUCCGGUCUCCUAAUUUUUAAUCACGUAGAUGUAGAAGUGCUAGCCUUUCUGAUUAAUACAGGGCUAUAAAUAGGAAGAGUUGUUUGGGGCUGGGGCGGGGGUUAUUCCUGACAGCAAAGAAAAUGGAGUUAACCUUUACACGCCUGGGAAGUUUAAAAAGAGAAUGAAAGAGAAGGGAUCGAUGAUGGCUUAAGCCCACAAGAGUAGGAACAAGCCACAGAGAUGGAUGACAUGCUGCUGCUCAUGGGGUGGGAGUCCAGACAGAUUAUCCCCAAAUGGACAUUGCACUGAGACCUUCUGGGGUGGGAGGUGAAAAGCCCCAGCAGAAGGUCUCCUGUUCCUCACAGUGCACUCAGGACCUCAGCUGGAGAACUGUUCUUUUCUUCACUACAGACAAAACUUUCCAAAGAAACAAUGACAAGCUUCUCCCCAUCAAAACCCUGGUUUUCUGUCAAAACACAGGGCUUGCUGAGUAUUUUUAAACCAGCCUUGGACAGGCAUUAAUCUGUUCUCCGUAGCUGUGGGCUGCUUGGAAGAGUCAGGACAGCUUGGGGUCUCUGCUCCUUGCCCUUUGGUGUGCUUUGGGAAAAGCAUGUUUUACAGCACAUCAGCAUAAAGAAAUACAAAUAAAUGAGUGUUGCUCUUGGGCUGUGCAUUCAGCAACUUCUUAAAUUAGUUGGCUAGUUAGAGGCUUUCCUGCAUACAGUCCCACCCUGCAAGACUUAACUGUAUGAUAAAUCAAUGAGACCAUGCCGAAUUAUUCAGCGCUGAACUAAUACCCCAGGCUAACACUGCAGCUUUGGCUAAGAAAUAACAUAGGUGUCUCCAAACACUCCUGGCAGCUGGACGGUUGCGUGGUGAGCAGACAGAGCCUCAAUUAUUAGCAAUAUUUAUUGAGAUAACAGGAUCCUCCAGGCAGGAGUCAGCUCCUGGAAGUGGAGAAAGCAGAAAGCCCUCCAGCCACCAGCACUUCUUCCUAAUUAACACCAACUGGUUUUGUUUUGUUUGUUUUUUUUUCCUGUUGAUGUGGCUGGUACCUCCUUGCUGUUGGGUUUGUGUAACACCCCUCCUCUUCUUGGGACAGUGUUAAGAGAUUCAACUCCAAACGCUCACUGGUGGAGAAGGGCCACCCAGCUGCUGGGCUGGAGAGGCAGAUACCGAGCAGCCCCUGAGGAUUGUUCUGAGCCAUGCAUCUGCAAGUAAUGUUCAGCCGGUGUGAGACUCCGCACAAGUGUCCCCCGAGGAAUGAGAUCCCUUGGGUAAGAUAUCGCUGAUGCACUGCUCAUCUUCCCUACGGGGUCUGCGGCACUCAAGGCUCUGGGCUCAUCUUACAUGUGUGUUAAGCAAAUAACAGUGACCCAGAAGAUGCUCUUGGUGAUCACAAACCGUUGGGAGGUGUUUUCUA